AAAUAACGUCCCAGUUCGGAUUGUAGUCUGCAACCCGACUACAUGAAGCUGGAAUCGCUAGUAAUCGCGAAUCAGAAUGUCGCGGUGAAUACGUUCCCGGGUCUUGUACACACCGCCCGUCACACCAUGGGAGUCGGAAAUGCCCGAAGUCAGUGACCCAACCGUAAGGAGGGAGCUGCCGAAGGUGGAGCCGGUAACUGGGGUGAAGUCGUAACAAGGUACC
rnacentral:rRNA from 1 species